rnacentral:rRNA from 1 species
UACCAGCACCCCGAGUGGUCGGGACGAUUAUUGGGCCUAAAGCAUCCGUAGCCGGUUCUACAAGUCUUCCGUUAAAUCCACCUGCUUAACAGAUGGGCUGCGGAGGAUACUAUAGAGCUAGGAGGCGGGAGAGGCAAGCGGUACUUAGUGGGUAGGGGUAAAAUCCGUUGAUCCAUUGAAGACCACCAGUGGCGAAGGCGAGUCCCUGGACAACACCUGACACUGAGGCACGAAAGCUAGGGGAGCAAACAGG